rnacentral:rRNA from 1 species
AUACGAAGGUGGAGAGCGUUGCGCGGAAUCACUGGGCUUAAAGCGUACGUAGGCGGACAUGCAGGCAUCGUGUGAAAUCCCUCGGCUCAACCGAGGAACUGCAGGGUGAACCGCAUGUCUUGAGAUGGGUAGGGGCUGUCGGAACGAUAGGUGGAGCGGUGAAAUGCGUUGAUAUCUAUCGGAACGCCAAAGGCGAAGGCAGACAGCUGGGCCUAUUCUGACGCUGAGGUACGAAAGCGUGGGGAGCGAACGGGAUUAGAAACCCCAGUAGUCC